rnacentral:pre_miRNA from 1 species
AUCACAAACAUAAUGUAGGCUCAAGGCGCUGUGAUAACAUCACAAAGUUUGUGAUGUUAUCACAGUGCCUUGAGCCUACAUUAUGUUUGUGAUG